CAAGGAUUAGACACACACGGCAUUUUAACUAGAGAAAGUUGCUCAAUUGAAAUAUUUUUUUUCUUCCUAUUUGUUUAAACACAGAAGACAAUCCAGAGCAGACAAUUUUCGAUCUGCACCAAAAGAAGCUCCUUGGACAUUAGUUUACCGCCAUCUUCCAGCUCCUUUACAUGUGAACAAGGACAACAUCAGGAAGUUUGACCAGCUUAAACACAGAGAGAAAUACCAGUGGACAUUCAGCCCAGAGAGACAGCGUCUUGGAGUCUGA
rnacentral:lncRNA from 1 species